rnacentral:tRNA from 1 species
GCUGGUGUGGCGGAAUGGCAGACGCAGCAGACUCAAAAUCUGCCGAGGGCAACCUUGUGUGGGUUCAAGUCCCACCACCAGCAC